GAAGCACUCCUGAGGACCACGACCUCACAGUAGACUACAUCCUCACUCCAACCAGGGUCAUCGCCACCGGCUGCGAGCGCCCAAAGCCAGUGGGCAUCACGUGGUCCAAGAUCAGCCCUGAGAUGCUGGAGAGAAUCCCGGUGCUCCGAAGCCUACGAGAGCGAGAGAGGCGGGCUGGGAAGGACGUCAGCCUGUGGGCCGAUCUCCCGCACCCGGCACCCCUGUGCACCGUCGUGGGACCCCAGCUCGCACCCCGGCCAGGGUUGAGUGUCCCGGGGGCAGCCUCUGGCAGGAUGGGCAGCCCCCAGCAGCGGAGCCACGCUGGACAGACACAGGCCCUCCGCCACCGGCGUCUCUGACAGGACACUGCCGCCCUGUCCAUGGCUGUGCACACAGUGAGUGCGGAGCGGCUGCAGGCUCCUCGGUUGGCUGCGCACAACGGCGGCCUCUGUGCCCGGCCCAGCCACACUGUGCAGAAGGGGCCCGCACUCUGUGCCCAGGGCGCAGGCCGGGCGGCAACCUCAGGACGCAGGCGCCCUCUGGCCCGCGCCCCCCAGGCCCUGGCCACCCCCCAGGUGCUCUUCACCCCACUUUCCCGUUUUCCCACAGUGACCGCUGUGCCCGAGGGUGUCCAGGAGUCCUGGGCAUUGGAUAGCAGAGGCGGACACAUGGCCCUCACCCCACAUCCCAGCUCCCGUGUCCAGCCUGCCCAAGGCCAGCUCAGCCCUCAGUUGGGAGGCACAGCGCUAGGUGGCCACUCCUGGCGCUGGGGAGCCAGGCUGCUGGGUCCCCUCACUCGGGACCAGGACAAUCCAGAUUGCUGGGCAGGUAGCCGGAAGCGGUCUGUCACUUUAUAUCUGUGGAGGUGGUACCAGAAAACUAGAAAUGGCCCCAAACGUGUCCACCCUCAGAUCUCCCACUGCCCCUUGCUUCCUCGAGGGGCAGCUCUUGUCCACACCAGGCAGGAGUCCCGGCCACAGAUGUGAUGGCAGGCUCCCAGGCACUCAGCAUCAUGAGGCACACUUCACGUGAGGGUGAUGUGGGGCAUGGGGGGAGCUCCCACGGGCACGGGGUCCCAUCCUGAGUGGGGAGCAGUGUUGCCACGGGACGACACCACCUGCAGAAGCUGCAGCUGUGGACCCUAGAAGUGUACCUUCAGCUCCACGGGGGAGUGCAGAGUCUGGUCCACUGCCCCCUCCUGAGUGGUGCCGGGUCAGGGUGGCCAGGGGUGCACCUUCCUCCUCAUCCUCAGGCCCAGCUGGUCACCUCCACUUGAAUUUUCCUAUGUGCCAGGGGGUGGCACAGGUCUGUCAUCCCAGCACUCUGGGAGGCUGGGGCAGGAGGAUCGUGAGUUUGAGCAGCUUCGUGAGACCCUGUCUCAAAAUAAAAAAGGUAAAAAAGAUUUGGGUUGGAGCUCAGUGCGAAGGCCCCAUUCAAUUCCCUGUACCCCCAAAACAAAGCUCAGUACCAUCCACUGCAGGCACUGCUGCCCUCCCUGGAGUCAGCAGGGCCCAGGGUGAGCUGGGGGCUCCAGACACAGCUGCCCCCCACCCCGCAGCCUGGUCCUGGGGGAGGUGGGGCCUGUGCUUGCUGUGCUCCGGGUCCCCACGACACAUAGGCCAUCAUGGCCAUCAGAGAAGGGGCCGUGAGGCUCCUAGAAACUAAAAACAUAAAGUAAAAGCCAGUCGCUGGGCUGCAGGUGAACGGUACGGUGAGCGGGGAGAUCAGGCGCACGAUUCUUCCCAAAACCAGCGCAAGAGAGGUGUGAAGUCUGCGGCGGCCAGGGAGGUCAUCAGAACUGCUUCCACUGAGAGAGCUGCACCUCGUGUGGAGAAGGCCGGGGCGACUGGCCUGCCUGAGGCCAGUGCAGCAGCAGUGCCAGGCAGCUGCUGAGCACCACAAGGAAGGGACGCGGCUCUCCGGGGAGCACUGGAGCCCCAAGGGAUGCCGUCCGCCACGAAGGGGGACACAAGGGGCUCGCCCUAUGUGCUGUGGGCCCAGGCACGAGUGUGAGCAAAGGCUCCGGGACAGCCACACAGCACGGAGCCAUCGCAGCUGGCUCAUGGCCAUGGGACCUCAGCAGCGGGGCGCCUCCCAGCGGGCAGCACAGGGGCCGGAGAGGUCACCCGGGGGCCUGGCCAUGGCAGGGGAGGUUGCCAGGACUGAGACCGAGCCUGAGAGCUGCAGCCACACAGAAAAGUGCGUCCCAGGAUGACUGAACAAAGAGAUGCAGGCUGGCCUUGAAUUCACUGUGUGGCCUAGGUUGGUCUCCAACUCAAGGAGAUCCUCCUGCCUCAGGCUCCAUGCUCUCACACCCAGCUAAGAGACUGCUUCUGAAGCCCUUUCCUAGCCCAGCAUUAGAAAACAG
ensembl:lncRNA